rnacentral:pre_miRNA from 9 species
UCUCGAUAGCGUAAAAGUUAACUCAGAUUUGUAUGCAGUUGGAACCUUUGCUUACGUUUGCCGCCAGGGGCGCUGUUCUAGGUGCAUACAAAUUUCAGGUAACGUUUACGCUUAAAA